CCCGUCUUUGCUAAAAUCUUUUUUCUGCUCCUUUUUUUUCUUAGGCUCCCCCUAUCCAGAAAAAGGAAAAGGAGAGAAAAGGCUUUCUUUUGCCACAAUUACCACCCUGGGUCCAUAGUAUCCAGCAGUCAGAAGGCCAAGAUUUUGAUUCUCCAACUCAAAGAAAGGGAUAUUACUCAAGCUUUUAGGACAGCUUGGAGUGGUCAAGCCUCAGCACUCAGAAGACAGAGGAAAGCAGGAAAGGAGGAACUCUCUGCAGUUGUCCAGUGACAUCUGGCCACAUCUCCACGGCUUUGCCUGAUUCCACCUGCCUAAAAUACCCUUUCUUCUCCCUCUCCAGCAAACCUCUAAAUAUCUACGAUGUGAUCUCAUGAAAGAAGCCUCCCAGCCUGGGUUCAGGGUUCUUCACAUGACACUGUACUUUUCAUAUUAUGAGCUAAAUAUGAGACAGAUUCUCCCCCUGGAUUGAUGGACUCACUCAUAUGGAGCCAAUCAUCCUACCAAGAAUAACUAGAAGAGCUAGAUGAAAACCAAUCAAAUGAAAGAAACCUGUUUGAAGAGACUCCCAAGACAGCAAGGACUUCAAGAGUAAAGGUCUUCAUGAGAAGGAAAAUUCAUAAGGGGGAACAUGACAUUUUGCACUGCUUUUCCCUUUGGAACAUUUGGAGCAUUUGCCAAUUUACCGUAUUGGCAAUAAAACCAUACAGAAAAGUGAGUAGAUUAUAAGU
rnacentral:lncRNA from 12 species